rnacentral:rRNA from 1 species
AUACGUAGGGGGCGAGCGUUGUCCGGAAUUAUUGGGCGUAAAGGGCGCGCAGGCGGCCGAUUAAGUCGGAUGUGAAAGGCCACGGCUCAACCGUGGAGUUGCAUCCGAAACUGGUUGGCUUGAGUGCAGGAGAGGAGAGCGGAAUUCCCGGUGUAGCGGUGAAAUGCGUAGAGAUCGGGAGGAACACCAGUGGCGAAGGCGGCUCUCUGGCCUGUUACUGACGCUGAGGCGCGAAAGCGUGGGUAGCGAACAGGAUUAGAUACCCUGGUAGUCCACGCCGUAAACGAUGAGUGCUAGGUGUUGGGGGAUUUCAUGCCCUCUGUGCCGAAGGCAACCCAAUAAGCACUCCGCCUGGGGAGUACGGCCGCAAGGCUGAA